rnacentral:ncRNA from 1 species
GGGAUUAUGGUGGAUACCUAGGCAUCCAAAGAGGAGGAAGGGCAUGGUAAGCAGCGAAAUGCUUUGGGGAGUUGAAAAUGAGCAUAGAUCUGAAGAUUCCCAAAUAUGUUAACCUUUUUAACUGCUGCUUAAUCCAUGGGCAGGCAAGAGACAACCUGGCGAAUUGAAACAUCUUAGUAGCCAGAGGAAUAGAAAUCAAAAGCGAUUCCCGUAGUAGUGGCGAGUGAAAUGGGAGCAGCCUAAACCGUGAAAACAGGGUUGUGGGAGAGCACAAUAUAAGCUCUGUGCUGCUAGGUGAAGCGGUUGAGUCCUGCACCCUAGAUGGUGAGAGUCUAGCAACCAAAAACAUCAUUGGGUUACGCUCUAACCCGAGUAGCAUGGGGCACGUGGAAUCCCGUGUGAAUCAACAAGGACCACCUUGCAAGGCUAAAUAAUCUUGGGUGACUGAUAGCGAAGUAGUACUGUGAGGGAAAGGUGAAAAGAACCCCCAUCGGGGAGUGAAAUAGAACAUGAAAUAGUAAGCUCUCAAGCAGUGGGAGGAAAAUGAUAUCUUUGACCGCGUGCCUAUUGAAGAAUGAGCCGACGACUUAUAGGAAGUGGCUUGGUUAAGGGAACCCACCAGAGCUAUAGCGAGAGCGAGUCUUCAUGGGGAAAUUGUCACUUCUUAUGGACCCAAACCUGGGUGAUCUAUCCAUGACCAGGAUGAAGCUUGGGUGAAACUAAGUGGAGGUUCGAACCGACUGAUGUUGAAAAAUCAAUGGAUGAGUCAUGGUUAGGGGUGAAAUUCCACUCGAACCCAGAGCUAGCUGGUUCUCCCCGAAAUGCGUUGAGGCGCAUCAGUUGACUGGACCAUCUAGGGGUAAAGCACUGUUUCAGUAUGAGCCAUGAGAGUGGUACCAAAUCGAGGCAAAAUCUGAAUACUAGAUUUCCCCAAUAAAAGGGGUAAAGGUCAGCCAGUGAGACGAUGGGGGAUAAGCUUCAUCAUCGAGAGGGAAACAACCCAGAUCAUCACUAAGGCCCCUAAAUGACCGCUUAAUGAUGAAGGAAGUAUGAGUGCAAAGACAACCAGGAGGUUUUCCUAGAAGCAACCAACCUUGAAAGAGUGUGUAAUAGCUCACUGAUCGAGCACUCUUGUGCUGAAUAUGAACGAGACUAAACGAUCUGCCGAAGCUAUUGGAUGUAAAAAUACAUCAGUAGGGGAGCGUUUUUCCUCAGAGGGAAGCACCGGCGCGAGUAGAUGUGGAUGAAGCGGAAGCGAGAAUGUCAUCUUGAGUAACACAAACAUUGGUGAGAAUCCAAUG